GAUGAACGCUGGCGGCGUGCCUAAUACAUGCAAGUCGAGCGAACAGAUAAGGAGCUUGCUCCUUUGACGUUAGCGGCGGACGGGUGAGUAACACGUGGGUAACCUACCUAUAAGACUGGGAUAACUUCGGGAAACCGGAGCUAAUACCGGAUAAUAUUUCGAACCGCAUGGUUCGAUAGUGAAAGAUGGUUUUGCUAUCACUUAUAGAUGGACCCGCGCCGUAUUAGCUAGUUGGUAAGGUAACGGCUUACCAAGGCGACGAUACGUAGCCGACCUGAGAGGGUGAUCGGCCACACUGGAACUGAAACACGGUCCAAACCCCUACGGGGGGCAGCGGUGGGGAAUUUUCCGCAAUGGGCGAAAGCCUGACGGGGCAACGCCGCGUGAGUGAUGAAGGUCUUCGGAUCGUAAAACUCUUUUAUUAGGGAAAAACAUACGUGUAAGUAACUGUGCACGUCUUGACGGUACCAAAGCAGAAAGCCACGGCUAACUACGU
rnacentral:rRNA from 1 species